rnacentral:rRNA from 1 species
GAUGAACGCUGGCGGCGUGCCUAAUACAUGCAAGUCGAGCGAACAGACGAGGAGCUUGCUCCUCUGACGUUAGCGGCGGACGGGUGAGUAACACGUGGAUAACCUACCUAUAAGACUGGGUUAACUUCGGGAAACCGGAGCUAAUACCGGAUAAUAUAUUGAACCGCAUGGUUCAAUAGUGAAAGACGGUUUUGCUGUCACUUAUAGAUUGAUCCGCGCCGCAUUAGCUAGUUGGUAAGGUAACGGCUUACCAAGGCAACGAUGCGUAGCCGACCUGAGAGGGUGAUCGGCCACACUGGAACUGAGACACGGACCAGACUCCUACGGGAGGCAGCAGUAGGGAAUCUUCCGCAAUGGGCGAAAGCUUGACGGAGCAACGCCGCGUGAGUGAUGAAGGUCUUCGGAUCGUAAAACUCUGUUAUUAGGGAAGAACAAAUGUGUAAGUAACUAUGCACGUCUUGACGGUAACUAAUCAGAAAGCAACGGCUAACUACGUG